UUAGCAGUGAGCAAACGACUCCAGAGCAACUCCUCCAAGUAAAUUGUUUUGUAUCCACUGAUUGCACAACUGUUGAGUGUCAGUUGAGUGGUGCCUGCCCCGGAUUAUAGUUGUGCACAGAUGACCAAAUCUGUGUUGUAUUGUUGAACUCAUGAAACAGCCUGUGAGAGACACCCUGGGAGACAUGUGGAGCCCUGAGACUCUGGGUUAUAACCAAACACAGAGGCCACAGUAUCCUGGCUCAGCUACUACUACUACUACUGGCAGCUGCAGUGACUCAGACCUUUCAAAGGAAUACUUAGCUGCCAUUUACAAGUCAUCUGAAGCUAAGACGUGUUCGUCUUAAAGACGAAGAUGGAGCAGUUCUUCUACAUUCAGCCACAGGAG